GAGUAUAUAGACUCUUGCUGCAUGAUCCCACUGUCAAUCUCUAUCUGUGAACCUGUAGUCAAUUCAGAGUUCCCCAGACUGGCGUUCUGUUACAGAGGGAGUUUAGAUUCAACUUCAGAUGAGAAAAAUGAGGAUCUGACAUGAAAAGUGACUUGCAUUGCUUUUGGCAUCUUUGUGGUAAAAUAUUUGCCACCAGACCUGCCUUACAAGAGGUCCCAGAAGGAGUGCUAAAUAUAACCUGCCUUACAGGAGGUUGCCAAGGGAGUACUAAAUAUAGAAAGGAAAGACUGUUACCAGCCACUACAAAAACACACUUUAAGUACAUGGACCAGUGACACUAUAAAGCAACCACACAAACAAGUCUGCAUAAUAACUAGAUAACAACAUGAUGACAGGAUCAAAUCUGCAUAUGUAAAAACUAGCCUUGAAUAUAAAUGGGCUAAAUGCCCAAUUAACACUGAGUAGGCAGUUGGUUAAAGAAGCAAGACUCAACAGUAUGCUGUCUUCAAAAGACCCAUCUUAUAUGCAAUGAUGUCCAUAGGCUCAAAGUAAAAGAAUGGAGAAAAAUCUACCAAGCAAACAGAAAA
rnacentral:lncRNA from 10 species